rnacentral:rRNA from 1 species
ACGGGAAGACCCUUCCCAAUUUUGGACUCCCCGGGGACAAAGUGUAAAAGGUACUUUUUUUUGGGAACACGGGAAACGGGGGGGCCAGGGUGUUGUUCACCUCGGUUCGUGAAAUGUGGGGUAAAGUCCCGAAAGGAGCCAACCCCCUUCUUUUGGUACCCACCAGUAAGAUGGGCACUCUAGGGAGACUGCCGGGGAUAACCCGGAGGAAGGUGGGGAUGACGUCAAAUCAUCAUGCCCCUUAUGACCUGGGCUACACACGUGCUACAAUGGCGUAAACAAAGGGAAGCGAACCUGUGAGGGGGAGCAAAUCCCAAAAAUAACGUCUCAGUUCGGAUUGUAGUCUGCAACUCGACUACAUGAAGCGGAAUCGCUAGUAAUCGC